AUACACAAAUGAAAAGGGAAUGCAUUAUCUCUAUGAGGGUCUUCAAAUGCUGUGCAAACGUAUGUGUCCGUGUGUGUUCAGGCUUUGCUUCCCUGUGGAUCAUCCACACACGUCACCAGUGCCGUUCCUCCCUCGGCUCUUGUGUUUACGCUGAACGGCUGUGAUACGACGCAGGUUCUUCCCUGGCCAGGAACCAGAAACCACAAGAAACGAAAACGAAAGAAAAAGAGGAACCCAAAAGGCUGUGAGUCCACACUCAGAAUCCCACUGACAUUCAGUGUGACGCCACCCAGCCUUGGAUGUGAGCCGUCUAUUAGAAAAAGAGACCCCCUGCACCACCAAAAUGGGUCCAGGCUUUUGGAGCGAAUCCCAAUCCCAAACCUGGUCUUUGAUUUCGGGGGACUUGGCACGGCUCCUUCUCCCACUGCUUUGUUCCUAUUGAUGGAUCCAAGCGGGCCUGCGAACCGUGACCUCUGCCAGCCCACCCCGUCUGUGUGAGUGAGUUCACACACACACACACACACACACACUCACUGACACAAUGCCAAGCCGCCACAGAACGCAACAGGAAAGGAGUGUAAAGUGAAGGGGGGAAGAAGUCGACAAAUGUUGCUGAAAGCGCCUGUGAACCAAAGUCUCUUCCCUGACAGAGAUUGCCGAGUGUCGUCGCCGCUUUCUUUGUGCCUGCUCUGAUAACUUAGCCAUGUGUGAUGGAGGGCGAGGACCAGAGUCUGGACCGCCGCCUAUUCAGCAGCUCUGAACCACCUGCCACCAGAUGGACCCGAGUGUGAACUUGAACAAGAAAAAGGGGGGAGGGAAAAAAAAAAGAAGAAAAAACCCACUUGAAUUCCCAGCCGUCCAAAUGGUUGCCUCAUGUUCUCUCUGACUAUCUCAUCAAACCCAACUUUAAAUCUGCUUUGUCGGUCAUUUGGGGCUGAGUUGGCGAACUUUACAGUUGCUCAGUGAAGACAAUUUCACAGUGGGAACUUUUCAGUGUUCAGACAGCUGCUGAGCGAGAAACUGCUGAGAUAUCGGUUUAAGAAUCAAUCUCUGACGUCACAGUCAGGGGCCAGAAACUCGUAGUUAUGAUUACGAACCAAACUACAGAUGAAAGGCUCCUUAUGUUUCACGUAUAGAUGGACCUUUAUAGACACAGGCUCUCCCGCCUCUUCCAGUGAUGACACUUUAUGACCGAUCAGUCAUCGGCAGUCUGUUGAUGUCACAUUUUAGUAUCGGCUCACCUUGCAGGUACCAGGUACUAUCGCUAAUUUGUCCCACAGACUGCACUACAUGGCGUAAAUUGCUACGACAGCGUCUGCUAAAGUAAACGUCGCGUAAAAGUGACUUGGACUUGAACAGAGUGGACAAAAGACAAGUGAUUUCAGGGACAGUAGAUCCAUCGUGUAGCUGUGAUGACAUGCUGUUAUGAGGUCUGUAAAAACCCAAUUAAUAGGAAAUCCAUCCAGUGAGGCCAAGAUGUGCUAAAGGCUUCCAGAGAGUACCGGAGACACUGUCCAGCCUAGAGGAAGGUGACUCGGAUCGAGCACUGGGGUUGAGUCUGGACUCAUUUGUCCAGUUACGGUUCUCGGCGUCUCCGGUGUGUCUGAUUGGUUUGGACAAGGCAGGCGUGUGUCACACUGAAAACUUCUCUUAAUUCUGUUCUUUUUUUAAAAAAAAAAACCCCGUCACAUCUGAUUUCACUUACACAAAGGCGGAAAAGCAAGAAAGUCAUUUUCAUCCCCUGGUUAAUGAGAAAUAUGCGAGAAUUCCUUGUUUCCCCUCCCCCCUUGAUAAAUGCUGAAGAUUUAGUCAGCACAAAAUUCAAAAAAGCACCUCUCAUCCCUCCUACCUAAAAAUGUGAUAGUUUAAUUUAUUAAAGAAUGUAGUUGUGUGAGCAAUCGACACAUUAGCAAGGGACAGAAGCCAAUUAGACAAUUAACAAACUGAUUCCUAUGCCUUUUUUCAGACUGGAAAACUGCUCACUCCUUGCACCAAAGUCUUAGUUACUUGAGACGUCUGUGCUUGUAAUCCUUCAUUUGAAUGUAACUAAGGGAGAAAAACUAAACAAAAGCUAAGAGCUACAAACAGUUGGACAUAAGGCUUGGCAUGAAGUCAUAUUUAAGAUAUAGAAUUAGUUGCAGAAUGUACGUUAGCAUUUUGCUUGAGGCUAAAAUCAGUCUUUUUUAGUAUUUCUUAGACAGGCCCCAGCUUGUCAAUGAGACCGUGUAGUUGUGGUACUACAGCACCAUCUAGUGGUGCUUCUUAGUUAAGGUCAGCAGAGUCAGUAAACCAAUGCUAAUUUGUUUGAAAAACACAUAAUUCAGUAUGUGUGCUUGACAAACAUCUAGAUUGCAAAUGCAUUUUACAUCUUAAACACUUCCUUUUUUCAAUGGCUGGGAAACAAGUCACACUGGCUAAACUGGUUUUAUUAAGUAGCCUACACACCCAGACAGAUUGCUCUAAACCUGGUAAUCCAUGCAACAG